UACGAAGGUCCCAAGCGUUAUCCGGAUUUAUUGGGUUUAAAGGGUGCGUAGGCGGGCUAUUAAGUCAGUGGUGAAAGCCUCAAGCUUAACUUGAGAAUUGCCAUUGAUACUGAUGACCUUGAGUACAUUUGAAGUGGGCGGAAUGUGUCAUGUAGCGGUGAAAUGCUUAGAUAUGACACAGAACACCGAUUGCGUAGGCAGCUCACUAAACUGUAACUGACGCUGAGGCACGAAAGCGUGGGGAGCAAACAGGAUUAGAUACCCUGGUAGUCCACGCCCUAAACGAUGAUCACUCGAUGUGUGCGAUACACUGUACGCGUCCGAGCGAAAGCAUUAAGUGAUCCACCUGGGGAGUACGGCCACAAGGCUGAA
rnacentral:rRNA from 1 species